GGCUGGUCCAAAGAUAGUGAGUCAUCUCCAUUGUUCACAGUCUGUUACAGAUUGAACUCCUGUUCUAUACUUUUUCCCUUCUCACUUGACUUCUCACUCACUUUCCCUUCUGUACUUGACUAGUCUCGA
rnacentral:Y_RNA from 1 species